AAGGAAAAUCCUAGAGCGAGAUGUUACCUGAUACAAUCUUCCCACAAAAAUUUCUGUAACUGCUGGUAGUUCUGCAGACUAGUUCUACAAGUCUCGAAUUACCGUACAUUUGA